rnacentral:rRNA from 1 species
UACGGAGGGCGCAAGCGUUGUUCGGAAUCAUUGGGCGUAAAGAGCGUGUAGGCGGUUUGGUAAGUCGGGUUUGAAAACCCGGGGCUCAACCCCGGAACUGCAUUCGAAACUGCCUGGCUAGAGUCCCGGAGGGGAGGGCGGAAUUCCCGGUGUAGAGGUGAAAUUCGUAGAUAUCGGGAGGAACACCAGCGGCGAAGGCGGCCCUCUGGACGGUGACUGACGCUGAGACGCGAAAGCGUGGGGAGCAAACAGG